rnacentral:rRNA from 1 species
UACGUAGGGGGCAAGCGUUGUCCGGAUUUAUUGGGCGUAAAGAGCGUGUAGGCGGUUUGGUAGGUCCGUUGUGAAAACUCGAGGCUCAACCUCGAGACGCCGAUGGAAACCAUCAGACUAGAGUCCGGAAGAGGAGAGUGGAAUUCCCGGUGUAGCGGUGAAAUGCGCAGAUAUCGGGAGGAACACCUAUGGCGAAGGCAGCUCGCUGGGACGUUACUGACGCUGAGACGCGAAAGCGUGGGGAGCAAACAGG